AUACGUAGGUGGCAAGCGUUGUCCGGAAUUACUGGGUGUAAAGGGAGCGUAGGCGGGAAGACAAGUUGAAUGUUUAAACUAUCGGCUUAACCGGUAGUCGCGGUCAAAACUGUUUUUCUUGAGUGAAGUAGAGGUAGGCGGAAUUCCUAGUGGAGCGGGGGAAUGCGUAGAUAUUAGGAGGAACACCAGUGGCGAAGGCGGCCUACUGGGCUUUAACUGACGCUGAUGCUCGAAAGCGUGGGUAGCAAACAGGAUUAGAUACCCUGGUAGUCCACGCUGUAAACGAUGAUUACUAGGUGUGGGGGGACUGACCCCUUCCGUGCCGCAGCUAACGCAAUAAGUAAUCCACCUGGGGAGUACGGCCGCAAGGUUGAAACUCAAAUGAAUUGACGGGG
rnacentral:rRNA from 1 species